rnacentral:rRNA from 3 species
UUAUCGGAGAGUUUGAUCCUGGCUCAGGACGAACGCUGGCGGCGUGCCUAAUACAUGCAAGUCGAGCGGACAGAUGGGAGCUUGCUCCCUGAUGUUAGCGGCGGACGGGUGAGUAACAC